AAGAAAGAAAAGAAAAAAACAAUUUUGAACAGAAGUAGGUCUUGGCUCUCAGGGUCCCCCCUCUGUGGCCAAGCCUCACCCCAGGGAAGGUUUCAUCCACUUCCGGCCCUGACUAGGAAAACAGGAACCCUGCGAAUAAUUCAGGUGAUCCCAGGCCCCGCGGGGGGCAGGACAGACCGUGGUGUGAGCUGCGGAGAAUGGUUCUCUCGUGCUUCCAGCCAAUGGAGUCCUUGGGAGCUGGAGGGGACCUAGGGCUGGGAGCCAUGGCUCACCUGCCCUGCCCAGCUGUCUGUGUGUGGGGCAGCCGUGCUGGGCAGGGGUCUCACAGGUAAAGGACAGGGGGGCGGAGCUGCGAUGGGUCUACACCAGGAGCCCCUACCUCCAGGCAUCCCCCACCCCAAUCCCCCAGGCUGGCCUGACGUCGUGCGGGGAGGCAGAGCCAGCUUGGCCCGAACGGCUGCGGUGGAGAAUCGAUCGACUGUAAUUGGGACUUGGAAGAGGUUUAAUAUUUAACUGGAUUAAAUAUUUAAACAGAAGGAGCUGAUGGAGCAUGGCAGCCAGGGAGACGACGGGGACGCACCCUGAAAUUGGGAGGAGGGAUGCUAGUGUGGGGCACCCAGGCCCUGCCUACCAGGCAUACGGCAGGUGCCCCCCGGCCUCCCUUCAGAGGGGAGGGCUUGAGGGGAGGACUUCAUUCUCCGUCUCUAUGCUCAGGUGGCAGCGGGGCUGGCUCACCUGAAGUUCUUGGCUCAGAGUCCACGGAUGGACUGGGAGGGUGUGGUCCCUGAAUUUGGAGCUGAGACGGCGGGAGAGGCUGGGGCUUCCUUCUGCGGAGGGUCCAGACCUUAGUCAGCUCAUCAGAGACACCAUCCCUCACCGUGCUCUCCCAAGGAGAAGAUGAGCCACCAGCCCCUUCUCAUCCUCCCUCCCACACCUGGGAACGGUGCAUCUCUGGACCCUGGCAGGAGCCGGAGGGGGCGCUCCUAGAAUUUCUAGAUGGCAGCCACCGCCCCACCCACCUUCCCCAAAGGUGUUCCUGAGUAGACUCCUAGAGAGACGCAGAGUGGGGUGGGGUGGGGUGGGGCAGGUGCCUGGUCUCCCUGCCCUCCGUGAUCUGUGAAGACCCCGCCCAGCCGGGCUUCCACAAAUACACCGAGGGGAGGCAGCUCCCGUCCUGGGCCCAGGAUGCCGCAUGCUCUCAACCAAGCCCUCCCAGCGUGGCCUGGCUGGCUCUGUCGUGGCGGGUUCCGUGGGUGUCAGGAAGCCCUCAGGGGCCCUGCAGUCCUGGUGUCCCGCGUCCCUACCCCAGCUGCCUGGCAGGAGGCCCUCGUGACCAUGGGGCCCCUGUGGUGUUUGCUCUGGGUCUCCCUGGGGAGUGGUUUCCGGCACAGAGCCCCCAGGGCUGGGGUGAGCCGGCUCUGCAGAGUGUCAGCCUGGAGGAAGUAAGAGGUGAGCAGGCCUCGAAAUGUCUUGCAGGCCUCAGGAACUGCAGAAACAGAACCCACACGCAGGCCAGGCCCGUGGCUGCCUUCCAGGUGGACCCAACGCUUCCUGAGGCCUCCUGUGUCUGGGGACCCUGGGCUGGCCCUCAGGGCGUGACCAGGGCUGGAGGAGAAACAGGGCAGGGAAGACGAAACCUCGAGACAGAGGGAGCCUGAGCCUCGUGGACGCUCCGGCAAGCCCACCGCCACGUAGACCAAGCACACCUGGCCGUGGCCUCUCUGGGGCUCAGAGCAGAUCUGGGUCUGAAGCGUGAUGGCCUGCCUGGCUGCAUGACCUGGGCAGGUGUCCUUAGCACCUGAGCCUUGGUCUGCUCACCUGUGACAUUGGUAAUUGUUCCUGUGCAGAGGGUGGCCAUGGCUGUGAAACAGAGGAGCUGUGUGCCUGGCUGGGACCUGGGUACCUGGCGUGUCCACGGCUGCCUCGGUUACCUCCUGCCGGAGGACAGACAGGGAAGCUGGGCAAAGCCCAGGGAGCAGCGAGGCCCAGCGGUUGGGGGUCUUCCUGUUUCCACUCCCAGGGAACACCCAGCAGGUAAGGUGCAUUUGGACAUCCCGGUUUUGUUUCAGCAGGCCUGCAGGGCUAGGGGAAGCCACAAGCCUCCCAGGGGACCACGCCUCUGAUUUGGUGUCCGGGCAGCAUAGCGGCCAUCCAGGGCUGCAGGGACAGCAGAGGUGGGGGCUUGUGGCCUGGGAGACGCAGGAUGGGGUCUCCUCUCUGCUGGACUGGACUGGCCCUCCCUCCCUUCACCUGGGGGUGGACGCAGGUCUGGGGAGGUGGACGCAGAGGGGACCCGGCAGUGCGAAGCCUCGGACUUUCUUGUGUUUUGUAAGCAAGAGUAGAACGGCCAGCUCCCCCAGCGCCCAGAGGCCAGCCCGAGUCCCUGUCCAGGCCUCCGAGGCCUCCACCCUGGUCCGUCUCCUGGCAGCACCGCUGGCCCAGCCUGUCUGGGCCUGCUCUGAGCCAAGCCUGAGGGGUGGCUGUUGCCCUUGGGUUCAGGAGCUUACCUGGACCCACCAGGCGGGGUUCCCUGGGGGCCUUCCUGGGCAGAUGUUGGUCCCACUGGGAGGGCAGAGCCAGUCAGUGGUGGACACAGCAUCCGUCCCAGCCUUGGGCCAGCAGGAGGGGUCCCAGAAUGUCCUAAAAGGCGUUAACCUUGUCUGGCCUGUGCACACAGGGCAGCGGGUGCUGUGGUCCUGCAGGCAUGGCUGAGCACAUGGGCCCUCAGACCCUAUGGGGACCCCACGCAGAUCCCAGGCAGACCACAGGCAGCCCCGACAUGGCAUCCCACGUGCCCCCAAGUGCCCCAUCCUAGCCCCCAUGCAAACCAAGUGGCCCCCACACGGCCCAAUUGUGUGGGAGCCCCAACGCACCCCACCAAAUCCCCACCGAGUCCCCUCAGCGACUCCCGGCCCCAGCCUGGCCUCCGCUCCUCGCUGGCUGAGUCAACGCCAGUUCCUGGCAGCAGACGCUCCCCCAGGACGGGUUCCUAAUGAAUUGUUUGAUCUCGCACCCCUGUUUGAUCAGAGGAGGGAGCUGCUCUGGAAUUAAGCAGGUGGCCCCAGACCCAGCGGUUCUGCCCCAAGAGGGGCAGGAGGGGACACGAGGUGGUCCCAGUGCUGGGGGUUUGUCCCAGUGGGGAGGGAAGCCUGGCGGUGGCAUAGCAGAAGCAGGCAGGCCGUGGGCUGUGCUCACUGUGGGCUGUGCCUUCUCUUGCAAAGCAGUUCUGAGCUGCCACCUGCGCAGGGUUGGGCGGUGGACCCCCCAGAGCGUGAGCACAUCCUGCGGCCGGAGCCUGUGGAGGAGACAUUCCUGGGAAAAGGAUCUUCGCAGACGCGGCCCUAGUCAAGGACCUCCAAGUGGGAUCGUCCGCGUGGGCCUUCGCUCCAACACUGGCAUCCUCAGAAGUCAGAGCAGAGGUCAGAGCCCAGGACGCCGGGAGCCCUCGGGAGCUGGAAGAGGCAGGAAGGGACCUUCCCUGCGGCCGCCGGAGGGCAUGCGGCCCUGCCCACACCCGACGCUGGACUUCUGGCCUCCAGCACUGGGAGAGAGGACGCUUCUGUGGUUCGACACCCCCCGGGGGCGGCACAGGAGCCACAGGAACCCGACACGUUGCCCGAGCUUCCAGUCCAUAGGCUGAGCACGGAGCUGCCCUGACCAGCAUCCACAGCCCUGCUCCUGGGCCCCAGCAAGGGCCAAGGGAGGCCCUGACACCUGUCCAGGUGCACACAGGGGGGUCCGAGCACUCGGACCCUCACCUGGGACGUGUGCUGGCUCUUGUGCAGGACGCCCUCCCUAGGCCUGGAAGGAGGGUGAGGACCCAGCACGCGGAGACGCCCGGAUUUCUGCACUGGAAGCGACUGCAGAGGCCCCGGGGCACGGUGGGAGAGGCAGAAUCGAGCAAGGAGACACACGCCAGCUGGGAGCCCUGCACGCCGUCUCCAGUCUUCAGGUGACCGUGGAGUCAGUUCCAGCCCCGGGGAGCCAGAGCCUGAGGGCUCCUCACCCUCUGCUGCUUCAUCACGGAUCUCUCACUGGGAGCCUCCCACCGCCCAGCAGGUCUUGCCCCUGAUGAGGCCAACCUGCCACCUGGCCACGGGCCGGCCCAGUCUGCAUCUCAGCCCUUCAUCUGAGGAUGGCAAGGAGGCCGGAACUCCAGAGGUCACUCAGAGGCUGGAGUGGGGCCAGGGUGCUCUUGGUGGGGACUCCCUGGCUCUCUCUUUGUCUUUUGGGGGCAGGCGCCCUGGGGCAACAGGACGCUGUGGAUAGGAGAGUCGGCAGACGCCCCACCUGCCCAGGGGGAUUCGACCAGGGCUCCCUUCCACUCUACCAUCUGGGCCUGCAGGCCAAAGCACACCCCAGGGGACAGGGAGUCGGCCUGGCCCGUCUCGAGAGGGGGUCUGCACCCAGUCCCCUCACAGCCUGGCCAGAUGGAGCCCCAAGCAGGAGGUGCUGAGUGGAGGCAGGGCUGGGCCUGCGUGGGCGCCGGCAGCAGGGUUGCCAGGCAACCACCUUGUGCAUUCGGCGUCUCCAUCUCCAUAGGGCGGAGGAACCCGGGUUCCAAUAUUUAUGUCUUGCCGCUUGCUAAGUCCCGGCGGGUGUUCACGCUGGACAGGGGGGAGAGGGAGGCGCGGUCUGCCGGCCCUGGAGGGUGGGGUGGCCCUGGAGCUCCAGGCUCCCACCCCCAGCCCUGCUCCCAGGAGGGGCUGACAGUUCUCUCGGCGGCUGCUGUGGCUUAGAGCUGAGAGGCCAAGCAGCUUCGAUGGUGGAACUCCAGGCUCAGGGGACGGAGGGGGACCUUCCUGCUAGACCCAAAAUGACAGCAGGAGCUGCCUGUCCCCUCUGCCUGGGCCACAGUGAGGAGAGGCCGUGCCGGGUGCAGCCCCUCCUGGGUCUCUUCAGGCAAGGCCAGGUCUCCAUGGGCCUCUACAGAGCAGGGUUGCAGGGGCACCAGGGUCUAGCCUCGUCUCCAUAGGCCUCAGCUUCCCCUUCCCCAAAAGUGCCGUGGUGAUCCUGGGUGGCCUGGCGGUGCUCUGACAGUUCGGGGGGACCACAGCCCAGAGGCCCUGCAGGCCAGAGGAUGGGGGCCCCAUGGGUUCCCAGAGAGGAAUAUCAGGUGUCAGAGACGGCCCCACCGGGAAGGUCCCCACUGUCCUGCGACGCUGUCCCAGGGCUUCCUGCGGUGAGGACAGUGGGGGAUCCAGCCAGGCAUGGGAGCCUCAGGAUGUCCAUCCUGUGGCCAGGGGUCCAGGGUGGUCCACUCCCCAAGGGCUGAGCCCCGCACCUGGCUGGGGAGCUGGAGCGCCCAGCUGGGCCCACUCAGGACCCUGCUGGGUGGAGGGCAGGGUCUUCCAGCACCUUCCGUGGUCCAUCUUCUCCGGAACCCAGAGCUCCUGCCAGUUCAGGCUGGGAGUGGGGUGCUCCCUGCACGUCAGCCCUGCAGACCCCCCGGAAGGGUCAGGGCCUGGGUGGAGAGGAGGCCUCUAUGUGGGUGAGGGCUUCAGGCUGUGGCCCCAUCCUUCCAUGGGACCACCUCGAGGGACCCCAGCCCCCCCACCCUGCAGGCAACGCUGAGCCUCAGUCUUCCCAGGCAACGGGGUGGGGUGGGGGGCCCAACCUGCACUAAACAGCUGUGGCCCGGUGGCCCACGCCCUGACCUGCCUGCCCUGAGGGGAAGCCCCCGGGUCCCCAGGUGGCCUGGGCUCUGGUUGCCCACCUGGGCCAUUACCUGUGCUUUCGAAUCCUUGUGCAAACCAGGGCAUCCUGGACCUGGGGGGUCCCCUGCUCAGGUACCAGCUGGGGCUGCCCACGCCCCCGAGUGCAGCUAGCAGGGCGGAGGGGCGCUGGCACCAAGACCCCUCUGCCGUGUGCUCCCGUCCAGCCCAACGGGGGCCCAGCCCAGGCCACACCGGCCCCGGCCUCCCGCUUCUCUCCCCUUGGCCUGGGAGCUUCAGGGAGAGGCUGGAAGUGCUGCGGGGCAGCGGGGAUUACAGGGUGGGGUGGGCUUGAAGGGGGUCGGUGCACGGUAACCCCUUGGCCCUGGUUUCUAGGUCCAGGGAUGGGGACCUCUGCACCCUGCCCCUCCACCUGCCGACGCGGGGACAGCUGUGCCCGGAGACCCCGUGGCUCCUGUCGUCCAGUCCACCAGGCACCCAGGGCUCCUCCUGCCACUGCCCUCACCUCCCGCUGCUAAACCUGAACGUCACAGCUCUGGGCCCUGGGUUCACCCACAGUGCGGAGCCGAGCCCUCCCCCAGGCCUACAGUGCCUGCUCCGGCAACUUAAACUUGAACUCAGUGCUGGCCCAGGAGCUGAUGGGAAGGACUGCCCAGCCUCCCCCAGCCCCACGGUCCAGCCUGACCCACCUUGGACGAUGGGGUCCUGGGGGCAGCACAGGCAGUCGGGGGAGACUCCCCUGGCCGGGCCGGGCAGGGAGGGGUCCCUGGAGGGAAGUGCCCCCAGCUUUGUACAAGGGUCUGUCCUGGGGCAGGGGAGGGGCUUUCCCAGGUGUGCAGUACCCAGGGCCCCGGCACAGCUCACAGGGCACCUCCUGCCCCCGCCCUCCAGCACCGCUGGGUUUCCCACUGGGCCAGGCCUGGGUCAGCCCGUCUCUCCCUCCUGGGGUCCCGGAGGCACAGGGCAGCCAGGAAUCCGGGUACCUGGGAACUCCAGAAGCCCAAAGCCGAGGUCCUGCAGAGGGUCCAGGGGUCUCCGAAGACCACAAAUGCCAGUCCCUGCCACUCCCAGGAGGAGGUGCCACCCAGUUGCAGCCGCUGGACCUGCAGGCAGACGAGACCCUCAGCCACACACGGGAGACCAGAGUUGGAGGCGCUCGGGAGGCUAGAGGCGAAGGCCCACGGGCCUCCUGGAUUCCGAGAUUUUCCCCUCAUCAAACAAACAACGUGUGGGUCAGAUUCUACGUGUAAAAUGCACCCGGAGGCCGGCCCCAGGUGCCGGGGGCUGCUGAGAACUGGUGGGCGGGGUGACUGCAGAGGGAGGGCCCUGAGCCAGCCCCACAGCCCGGAACCUGGGGCCCCCAUCCCAUCUGGUUAUCCUGCAACCAGGGAUGGGGCUCCCACAGGAUCAGCCCCCCAGCCCUGUGGCAGCGGGAGCUGAGCCCCCUAUCCCCAGGCCCCUCCCAGCCUGCUUGGCCUGGCCCCCUCCACUGAUGGGGGAGACCCCAGGACCUCAGCCUCUCCAGGGGCCUUCGGGGGAGGACAGGGCCAUGCUGCUGAGGAGCGUGGAGGGUGCCAGGGAGGCUGGGUAGGGGCUCUGGGUGGGUAUGGAGGUAGGACCAGGGCUGAUGUGCUUCAGGCCUAGGGGGGAGGGAGACUAAUCUGGCGGGACAGAGUGACAGCAGCACUGAGGCCUCAGCAGGGACAGAGCUGGUGCAGGUCAUUGAAGGGCUUGGGUGCUGGCUAAGGGGACAGCAUAUUUUUCUUAUGGGCAGUGGGGAGCCAUAGAUGGUCCUUGAGAGAGGGGAUCACGAGUUGAUUCCUGAAGGAGGCUGAGAGCUCCCAGAGACUGCGCCUAUCUAGGUAUGGAGAGGGCAAGCAGAAGGGUCCAGUCAAGUGUGGGGACAAGUCCUCCCCAAUCUCAGACCCCGAACAAGAGAGCUGGGACGUCCCCCUACACACUCUCCCUCCAUUCCCCGAUGUCCACAUCAGGGAGGCGAUCUUCCCCUAGCCGCCCAGCACCCACCCUGGUGCCUCUCUGGGGGUCCUCCCAGGGAACCCCUUGCAGAAACUCCCCCAGCCUCUGGGGUCCCUGCCCCCUGCCCUCCCUCACACUGUACCCCAGAGCCGGACCCAGGACUUUUGCCACUUGGGGCAGAGAAUUUAGGACUUUUCCUUUUGAGCUGAGACACUGGGCCCUGCCCACCCUGGAACUGUGGGGAACGGCUGGCCGGUGGGCAGGUCACAAGACACCCUGUGUCUCUAGACGGGCAGGGAGGAGCACACGGAGGCCCCGGGCUUUGGGACAUGUUCGCCUCAAUCCUGCGCAUGGGGUAAAUCGGCAUCAGGACUUCCUUCCGUGUCCGUCCAGCCAGAGCAGCCCCACAGACUCUCUCUCCGGAAGAUAAUCAGGGCCCCAACAACGUCUUGUCUGCCUGAGCGUGUUCACGUGUCACCCUCAGGAGCGACUGUCUCAAUAUUGUGCUGAAGCAGAGGCCGCAGAGUCCCCUCUCACUCCAGGCUGCCUCUCGUGCGUGACUCAGGCCUUUGACAUCACCAGGAGAGCUGGAGACAGGCCUGGGGACCCGAGAGGGCUCAGCGAGGGGCUGGCUGGUCACCCGGGCCCCGGCGUCCCUGUGCCCCUCACACACAGGGUGCUUUCUCGCCAGGGCCUCUGGGCGGGACCCCCGGGGCUGCACGGGAACUUGCCUCAGCCUGAACCUGGGGGUGGCCCUGGAUGCUAGACCAGGACAUGCAUCCUGCCCAGGGCUGUGGCCAUGGCCCCUUGGGGACCCAGGCCCAGCCAACCCCUCCCUGGGUCUCUCUUGACUCCAGUAACUGCAUCCUCCCAGAAACGAUUUCCCUGGCCUCUGAGUCUCCGGUGCCGUCCAGGGUAUCCAGACGGAGCUGGGGAUAGGCGGGGGGCCCCAAGGGGUGGCCUGGCAGCAGCCUGGCUGAAGCUGAAUGCUUCCUAUUGAUCCGGGACAAUUAUGGGAUGGUGAGCCCCAUUAUGUCACUCGCACACCAUUAAAGAGUUUAAAAAUAUCAACCGAUCACCAACGCAGCAGGCCAGAGUUCAGGCAGGACACCGGGCGCUUUGUUAAGAACCCGAGGGCACGGAGAAGUCACCGCCCGGGCCGGGGGAUGUGUGAAUCUGGCCCUCCGAGGGGCACGUUUGGUCCCCGGGGUGGGGAGGGGCAGACAGACCCUCCCCGGCUUGGGCCUGGCCCCCUGGGCACUCGGGUCCACUCUGGGGCCCGAGAGCCCUUGGAGGUGGACUUGGGCACUGCGGGUGCGUGGAGGGGUGCCACCCCUCAAACGCACCCUCACCUCCACUCUGCCACUGACUCGACACCCUCCCUGGCCAGGCUCGGGGCUCCGGGGAAAGGGGUGCAGCUUCCCAGGCCUCCCCGUUGUGUGUGGGAGGGGGUUUCGGGGGAAGCAUUUAGAACAAGAUGGAGAAUUCCAGCCCACAAGCCGGGAGGCUGAGGUGCAAGUGACGUCAGAACUGAGACUGGGAGCCGGGGAAGCCGGUUUCCCCUGAGAGGACCCCUGGCCUGCAGGACACAUUGAGGGGAUGUCGGGCCGAGGGCACCCAUGGGAGACGGGACUGCACGGCAGGCCCCCAGCUCGAGAACCCCAGGCAGCCCCGGACACCAGCGGGAGGGGUGCGGCCCCGUGGGAAGCCCCGACCCUUGCUUGGCAGUGGGGGUCCUGGUCGGGGCCCACCUGCAGCUGCACUCCCAAGGCCUGGCAAGCGUUUCUCCACCAAGAUCAGGAGGGCCUCAUCGUCAUAGAAACAGGCCACAUUCCCAGAGUGCACCGUGGCCAUUUGUGUCCCUCUCUGGCCAGGGCCUGUGGUGGGUGGGGGACCCCUGCGUCCUCAGGUCUGUUAACUGGGCAAACAGGGUCAGGCCCCUGAGGGCCCCCAGCCCCACCUGUGCGGCUCCCACAGCAUGAAAAUCGUAUCUUGUGGCCCCUGCUCCUCCCAACCUGGUCUCCCAUGACCGCUUUGCCCCGCACCGGCCACAACCCCGGCGGACACGCCACACACGAGCUGUUCCGGGCGCAGCACAGGAAACAGCCACAAGCCUGGGAACUGGGGGCCCCCGGACUGGCGGAGGCCGGAAGGAUCCUCCCUGGAGCCUCUGGAGGAAGCCAGACCCUGCCAAUGCCCAGGUCAGACUCCACUGCCAGUGCCUGGGAGGACUGUUUGUUGUUUUAGCCACCAGGUUUGCAGCACGCGGUCAGAACAGCCCCAGGAAGCUAAGCUGUUGCCCUGAGCGAUGAUUAUCAGGGAAAUCCUUAGAGCAGACGGCUGGUAGCUUAUGGCAAAUGUGAAAUAAAUGCAAAUGCUGUUAUCUCAAGGCAGCCCACCCCGCUUCUGACAAGAUGGGCCACGGGCCCACAGCCGCCACUGCCAUCCUACGACUCCCGUCAACCCUCCGGGCUGAGCGGUGGCACUUCUGGGACUCUGGCCGUGAUCAAGACGUGCCCUGGAGGAGGACCCCAGGCCUGCCGCAGCGGGGCAGGGGGAACCGCAGCCGCUCGCCUCGAGCCUUGGAGGACCCUCUGCUUGGUCAGGAGCGAGCUCAGCUGUGCCUCGGAGGGCUGCUUGGUGCUCAAGGUGGAGCUGGGGGCAGCAGGAGGGCGUCGGGGAGCUGGGGCAGCCGUGGAAUACAUCAGGAGGGGGUGCUGGGUGGGCCUGAGGAUGAGGGAGAGAUGGGUCCUGGGUGGGCCUGAAGAUGCCAGAGAGAUGGGAGGAGGGAGACGGGAUUCUGAGUGGGGGUUGGGAGGGCGUGGCUGGCCCUUGCGGGUGGACUCAGAGCCCAGCCAUGGCCCUGCUGGGAGAGAAUUUCCUGUCCACCCGGAGUAAGUGCUGUCUGUUAGACCGAGACGCCUGUCCCUUGCCAAGCUGGGGCCCCAGAGUGCCCUUUCGUCUCUUGUGAAGGAAACCAAGAUUUAUAAUAACACAAAGUGCGUCCGCGCCGUGGGAGGGGCCUGCUCCUGCUGGCCGUAUCGGCCGCGUCAUCUUGGGCUCAUCGUGUGGGCUGUGGACAUGGGGCUGUCCCUCACUAACAUCCACACGAGCCGAGCCGGGGCCUCGAGGGAGGGGCCUGACUGUGGCCUUGCUGGGCCCGGGGGCCAUGGGGAGACCUCACCUUCCCCCAGUGGCUACUGGGGAGGCCACGCCUGCAUCUCUCUCGCCCAGGAAAGGGGGCCCCAAUUCCCAGAACCUUCGCUGUACCUCUCGAGGGCCCGAGAGGGGCCAGUGUCAGCACCCGGUCAGCAGCACCCAAAGACCCCCUCGAGGGCCUGAGACGGCCGACGUCAGCCAGGCACCUGGUCAGGGGCAGAGACCCCCUCGAGGGGCCAGCAGUCUCAGAGAAUCAGCUGGAAUCACUGUUGCUGGUGUUUGUGGCGGGUGGGGGUCCCUACCUCAACUCUGUCUUCACACCUGCUCAGGGCCCACAGGCCAAGAGGCUGGGCAGCUGCUCACAGGGCUGGUGCUGUAGCCCGUCCACAGGCCCUGGCCCUGCCCACCGUCUGCCAGCGCCCACUCGCUCUUCUUCCCGGCCUCCUGGGCCCCAGGCCACGAUGGAGCAGAGGUCGCACCUCCAGGACCCGGGCACAGCUCGCCUUCUGCGGAGGCUGCUCCAUGCUCAGCAGGCAGGGCUGGCGGAGGUGCCAGGCUGGGCAGAGGGGCCUGGGGACUGUGGGACCAGGGCUGAGAGCGCCCCUCUUGCUUGCCUCCUCACUGCCCUUUUGGCCUGGCUGGACCUCCCGUGCCUCCCUGGAGGUUCUGCUCCCGGCCCGUGUCUGGAAGCUUUCUCGGUCCUUUUCCCCAUCCAGCCUGGGGGAGGCGGAGGCCCACCAGGACUCGUGCCGGGAGGGGCACCCACGCACGGGAGCUGCGUUCACACCUGAGCCCACUUGAGAGGCUCUGGCCCAGCAGCCGGGACGGCUGACCCUUACGGAUGGGAGCAAGGCCAGGCGGGGUUGGGAGUGGAGCCUUCAUCUUUCCUCCUCCUCUGCUUAGACUCCAGGCCCCUCAGUCAGCCACGCCUUCCCAGCCCUCCCCUGGGACCCCAGGAGGUGGGGGCACCCCCAUAGGUGGACAGGAGCCCAUCUGACCCCUCCUGGUCCCUUCCCGAUGGACCCACGUGGGCCUGUGGAGCCGGGCACAUGGCCUGGCCAGCUCUGGGGAUCUGGGCGCAGGUGGAGGAGGCUGUGGGGGGGGCGCAGGCGGUGGGGUGCCUGGAGGGUGGUGCAGCCGGGCCUACAGCCCUGGCCCGACGCCCUCCUGACCCUAUAGCCCCAGCCCCCGGGGUGUCGGGGACACCCUUCCAUGCCUUUGCGCCCGGCCCCUCUCCCAGCCUGAAGACCUCAGCCAGCCCCUGCUUCCCUGUGCGGCCGCCAUGUCCGGCCGUGUCUGGGGCUGCUCCUCCCGGGUCAUCUGAGCCGCCCCAGGCUCCCUUCCUCCCUUCCUCUUGGCCUUGGGAACAAUCUGACCUGAUUCUCAAAAGGAGUCAUCAGACUGUGUUCCGCUUGUGUUUUUAUUACCAAGGAAUGUACGAACGAGGGAAAUAUUGUCGCUGACACCCCCGGCUCUGUCCUGAGCCUCGUGCAGCUGGGACCCCAGGACGCGUUGUCCUCAGGAUGUCUGCGGCUGCCGGGCGGAUCUGCAGGGACUGGAGGCUGAGCUUCCUGCGAGACCUCGGCCUCGGUGGUCCAUCUGGGACCGGGUGGCACCACCUCCCUGUCCUGCGGUAGGGAGUGGGGGUCCGCCCAGGCACCCAGAAGCCACACUCGGAGGCACGGGGGCUCCCUCCCUGGUGUCCCUCCCUGCUUCCCUCUCUGUCCCUCUCCCGUCCAACCGUCUCCCUGGCUCAGGCUCGUGAGGACAAGGCCUCAGGAAGUCCGCAGCCUCCAGCCGACGCUGUGACAGAGACGUCCCCAGCACUCGGGGAGGGGGCUCC